rnacentral:rRNA from 1 species
GAAAGUAAAUAAGGGCGCAUGGCGGAUGCCUUGGCUCUCGGAGGCGAUGAAGGACGUGAUAAGCUGCGAUAAGCUUCGGGUAGGUGCAAAUGACCAUUGAUCCGAAGAUUUCCGAAUGGGACAACCCGGCAUUCUGAAGGAAUGUCAUCCAACUUGGUUGGAGGCUAACGCAGGGAACUGAAACAUCUUAGUACCUGCAGGAAAAGAAAAUAAAUAAUGAUUCCCCUAGUAGUGGCGAGCGAACGGGGAUUAGCCCAAACCACCCAUGUUACGGCAUGUGUGGGGUUGUAGGACCACGCUCUCGCAAGACAGUUAUUGAGAAGAAACGACUGGAAAGUCGUGCCAUAGACGGUGAUAGCCCGGUAUUCUAAGGUAACCGAAGCGUAGUGGUAUCCUGAGUAGCGCGGAGCACGAGGAAUUCUGCGUGAAUCAGCCGGGACCAUCCGGUAAGGCUAAAUACUCCCGAGAGACCGAUAGCGAACCAGUACUGUGAAGGAAAGGUGAAAAGCACUUCGAAUAGAAGAGUGAAAUAGUCCCUGAAACCAUGCGCCUACAAGCGGUCGGAGCAGCUUCAGCUGUGACGGCGUGCCUUUUGCAUAAUGAACCUACGAGUUACUUUUUCCGGCAAGGUUAAGCAUCUUGAGAUGUGGAUCCGAAGCGAAAGCGAGUCUGAAUAGGGCGGAUAGUCGGAAGGAGUAGACGCGAAACCAAGUGAUCUACCCUUGGGCAGGUUGAAGGUUAGGUAACACUAACUGGAGGACCGAACCGAUAAGCGUUGAAAAGCUUCCGGAUGACCUGAGGGUGGGGGUGAAAGGCUAAUCAAACUUGGAGAUAGCUCGUACUCCCCGAAAUGCAUUUAGGUGCAGCCUUGAGAGUUACUAAUGUGAGGUAGAGCGACUGAUAAGAUGCGAGGGCUUCACCGCCUAUCAAGUCUUGAUAAACUCCGAAUGCGCAUUAGUUCUAUCUCAGGAGUGAGGGCAUGGGUGCUAAGGUCCAUGUCCUAAAGGAGAAGAAUCCAGACCAUCAGCUAAGGUCCCCAAAUAAACACUAAGUUGAACUAACGAAGUCAGAUUGCUAAGACAGCUAGGAUGUUGGCUUGGAAGCAGCCAUUCAUUUAAAGAGUGCGUAACAGCUCACUAGUCGAGGAGUUUGGCGUGGAUAAUAAUCGGGCAUUAAGUGUUUUACCGAAGCUAUGGGAUCCUAACGGAUCGGUAGGGGAGCAUUCCACUCUGCGUUGAAGGCGAAGCGUGAGCUUUACUGGAGCGUGUGGAAAAGCAAAUGUAGGUAUAAGUAACGAUAAAGGGGGUGAGAAACCCCCUCGCCGCAAGACUAAGGUUUCCUGAUCAACGCUAAUCGGAUCAGGGUUAGUCGGGUCCUAAGGCUCAGCCGAACGGUGAGGCCGAUGGCAGAACAGGUUAAUAUUCCUGUACUACCUGUAAGAGUGACGUGGAGACGGAGGAGUGACAACGCCGCGGACUGACGGAAUAGUCCGUUAAAGGGUGUAGAUGUUGAUUAUCCCAGGCAAAUCCGGGAUAAGAGUCGAACCUGAUAGUAUACCAAUUUCCCCGGAAAACGGUAAUAGUGCGUGUAAACAUACUCCCAAGAAAAUCCGCUAAACUUAAUCUUACAGGUACCCGUACCGUAAACGGACACACGUAGUCGGGUUGAAUAUACUCAGGCGCUUGAGUGAAUCACGGUUAAGGAACUAGGCAAAUUGACCCUGUAACUUCGGGAUAAAGGGUCCCUACCCGGUGACGGGAGGGCGCAGAGAAUAGGUCCAGGCAACUGUUUAACAAAAACACAGGGCUGUGCAAAAUUGAAAGAUCACGUAUACAGCCUGACACCUGCCCGGUGCUGGAAGGUUAAGAGGAGAUGUCAUCGCAAGAGAAGCAUUGAAUUGAAGCCCCAGUAAACGGCGGCCGUAACUAUAACGGUCCUAAGGUAGCGAAAUUCCUUGUCGGGUAAGUUCCGACCUGCACGAAUGGUGUAAUGAUCUGGACACUGUCUCAACCGUGAGCUCAGUGAAAUUGUAGUAUCGGUGAAGAUGCCGAUUACCCGCGAUGGGACGAAAAGACCCCGUGAACCUUUACUAUAGCUUAACAUUGAAUUUGGGUAAUUGAUGUGUAGGAUAGGCCGGAGACUUUGAAGCAGGCACGCCAGUGUUUGUGGAGUCGCUGUUGAAAUACGGCCCUUUGGUUAUUUGAGUUCUAACUCGCUG